rnacentral:tRNA from 1 species
GCCCCCAUGGUGAAAUUGGUAGAC